GUUAAGCGACUAAGCGUACACGGUGGAUGCCCUGGCAGUCAGAGGCGAUGAAGGACGUGCUAAUCUGCGAUAAGCGUCGGUAAGGUGAUAUGAACCGUUAUAACCGGCGAUUUCCGAAUGGGGAAACCCAGUGUGUUUCGACACACUAUCAUUAACUGAAUCCAUAGGUUAAUGAGGCGAACCGGGGGAACUGAAACAUCUAAGUACCCCGAGGAAAAGAAAUCAACCGAGAUUCCCCCAGUAGCGGCGAGCGAACGGGGAGCAGCCCAGAGCCUGAAUCAGUGUGUGUGUUAGUGGAAGCGUCUGGAAAGGCGCGCGAUACAGGGUGACAGCCCCGUACACAAAAAUGCACAUGCUGUGAGCUCGAUGAGUAGGGCGGGACACGUGGUA
rnacentral:rRNA from 1 species